rnacentral:lncRNA from 1 species
UACUGGCUGUGGGACCAUUUGAUGAGAAUAUCCUGGCUGUGGGACCAUUUGAUGAGACCGACCCUCCGUGCCUACUGUCGACACCGGAGAAGCGUAGUGUAGAGAGGUAAGAAUCGGGAAUCGAAAUUAUUAUAGACUAAAUCAGCUUUAUGAACAAACCCAAUUUAUUAGGCACUAUAUUAUAGGAGAGAUAGGGAUUCCCUCUCUUUUCCUCUGUCAAAACCGGCGUGGAACACCAGCGCUGCUCACUUCUCGAGGACACGGAGCGGCCCGUAUCAGAUAGGGGACAUCGGAGCAACAUUCCAGCGCAGCUCACCCUCCCCAAUCUGAAUCAGUGCGAGGGCCGACGACAAGGGAACAACGGCCUUUCUCUUCACACAGCUGAGGGGAGUGUUGGACGUAGUUUAGAGAGGCCUUCACCGCUUGCUGCAAUGUCCCAGAUAUUAAUCCUGCAAAUAAAACUAUAUUCAAACCAUUCCUUUUCAAUCAUUCCAAGGACCUGCUACGGAGGAGUGUAGGUUAGAGCUUCAGUGAACGAACUAACUGUUCUAGUAUAGGCAUCGUGGAUCUAAGAGGUUACCUAGUACAAAGAAAUCAAACGUAUCCCGGGAGUUAGUCAUACCAAACUCCUAAAACAUCUCAGCAAAUUCACCAAGUGCACGGAUCCCAGAGGAGAGCUAUCAUAACAGACGUGAUCGGUCUGCCACAUUCCUGGCUACGGGUUAUGCCCAGGGGUGGGGCACCGAGGUAAGAGGGAUAGGCGUCUGAUACAAGGUAGUUAGGGGCUGAGCGAAUCUCCUCACCAACCUGUUACAACCGUUACGGGAUACAGGUUUCACUAGCAUCGCCAUGUAGGGGGUGGUAGAAUUGACGGAUCUGACAACACACACACACACACACACACACACACACACACACACACACACACACACACACACACACACACACACACACACACAGACCACAGAUGACAAGACUCAGGGUGUAGCGUCCUAUAGCUCUACGUAUCUGGAUAUGCAGCGGUGCAAAG